ACGAACGCUGGCGGCGUGCCUAAUACAUGCAAGUAGAACGCUGAAGAGAGGAGCUUGCUCUUCUUGGAUGAGUUGCGAACGGGUGAGUAACGCGUAGGUAACCUGCCUUGUAGCGGGGGAUAACUAUUGGAAACGAUAGCUAAUACCGCAUAACAAUGGAUGACACAUGUCAUUUAUUUGAAAGGAGCAAUUGCUCCACUACAAGAUGGACCUGCGUUGUAUUAGCUGGUAGGUGAGGUAAUGGCUCACCUAGGCGACGAUACAUAGCCGACCUGAGAGGGUGGUCGGCCACACUGGGACUGAGACACGGCCCAGACUCCUACGGGAGGCAGCAGUAGGGAAUCUUCGGCAAUGGGGGCAACCCUGACCGAGCAACGCCGCGUGAGUGAAGAAGGUUUUCGGAUCGUAAAGUUCUGUUGUAAGUCAAGAACGGGUGUGAGAGUGGAAAGUUCACACUGUGACGGUAGCUUACCAGAAAGGGACGGCUAACUACGUG
rnacentral:rRNA from 1 species